rnacentral:lncRNA from 1 species
GAAAUGGAGUCUUCGGCGAAGACAAGGCUUCCACUCAACUCUAUUGGUAUUAUCUACCCUUCGCCAUCACUCCAUACUAUCUCUCCACAUUGGUAUAAUCUUUCACUCAUAUAUUAUUUACCAAAGGGGGAGACAACUUAUAGAAUGGGCUCUGAUGACUCCGUUUUUGGCGAUUCAUGCCAAAGGGGGAGAGAGUAUUAGCCCAAAGCAAAAGGACCGCACCACCACCCUAAUUUUAAAUGAGUUCAAUUGAACAUUUCAAAUUGGUAUCUUAUUGUGUUCAAAAGGGGGAGAAAGUAGUAUUUCAAAAAUCAAUAUCUUAAAACCCUCUUGAACUCUAAGAGGAGGAUUUAAUCUAGGGGGAGCUUUGUUUAGUCAAAGGAAAAGCAUUUGAAACAGGGGGAGAAAUUUCCAAAUCUUAUGAUUCAUUUACCUUUGACUAUUUACAAAAGACUUUGAAAAAGAAUUUCCAAAACAUUUGCAAAAACAAAACUUGAGGUGCAAGCAUGGUCCAAAAUGUUAAAAAAAACAAAGAAAAGCAUCCAUGCAUAUUUUAUGAAAUGAAUAUUAGUUUAAUUCCAAGCAAUCUUUGCACCUACCCUAUGCAAACUAGUUCAAUUAUUCUCUUAUAUAUUUGCUUUGGUUUGUGUUGGCAUCAAUCACCAAAAAGGGGGAGAUUGAAAGGGAAAUAGGCUUUAAACCUUUUCCUAAAUGAUUUUGGUGGUUGAAUGUCCAACACAAACAAUUGGACUAAUUAGUUUGCUCUAGAUUACAUGUUCUACAGGUGCCAAAGAUUCAACUCAAAACCAAUAAAAAGAACAAGACAAGGUUCAAAAGAAAGGAGCAAAGAGAAACCGAAGUGCUCCCUGGUAUGGCGCACCGGACUGUCCGGUGUGCCACCGGACAGUGUCCGGUGCACCAUGUCACACCCGGUUUUAGAAGGCAAACCGAAUGCGAACCAUGUACGUGCCAGGAUCAGUUAUUCACGUACACAGCAGUUACAUAACAUGGACAUCAUCACACAGUGCUCAAAAUAGUACUAAAAGGGAAAUAAUAGUCGAUUACAUCAUACGUCUGAGACGUCCAUAUAGUUCUUACAAUAGAUCAAAGUGCGGAAAAGAAACGUAGAUAAACGCGGCCUUCACAGGCAGCCGACUGGGGGUUGCCGCUAACCCACACCUAGAACUCGUCGUAGUCUUGGAACUCCUGGAAGUCUCCUUCCACAGCUUCAUCUUCGCCUGAGCAGUGGUUGCAAUGCUGACAACCUGGGGGGGGGGGGUUUGGUGUGUAGAGCAAGGGUGAGUACACAUCAACAUACUCAGCAAGUAUCCUGUUUGGCUGUAGUGGACUAGCUUUAUGUGGGGAUAAGUCAAGCAGUUGCUUUUAGUUGGUCAGAUUAUUACUUACUAGUAGAAAGCCAAGUUUUAUCAUUACCCAAGUUAUUAACCCGAUGUACCCUUUCCAAACGGAAAGAAUACCACUUACCAGCACCAUAGCCAUAACCAAAACCAUCAAUCUCAUUGCCACCUGUAAACCAAGAGGUCUCUUAUCAAGUACCACUAAUCACUGGAGCUCCCUUGGCCGCUCAUAACCGUGAGCACGGCUGAUAUAUCAGUUUCAUAACACUCUGCAGAGGUUGUGCACUUUACCCACAAGCUGUGAUUCCCUCUUGCCUCGGGCCGAUCAAACCCUUAAACACUACCAAGGUGAAUAGGCAGGGUUUCACUACGUAGCCUUUACAGAGAUUCCUCGGGGCUGUAGCCGCCCGUUAGGUUUCCUAAAUGUACCGCACUCCUCCCCAAGGGACAAAUCAACCUUGGCAGAGCGAGCCGCAUACACCGAGCCCCAUUGACGGCACGACGGCGAAGCGAACUACACCCCGGAUCCUCUAAUUAUUCAGCUAAGGGCACCCCAUUCCACCCUCAUGGUUGCACUGUUUUCCCGGGCGGUCAUCCAUAGAACAGGUCCUUACGGAGAGGCACUCGAGAAACCGCUCGAGCCCCCUUAAAGCCACAAGUACAACAUCAUAAUAAGAGAAGGGAAAACAGCGUAUCAUAGAUAAUCUCAUCAUGUUCAUUGAUUAGAGUUGAGCAAUAGCAUAAAGCUAAGCAAUAAUAAUCCAACCCAAAUAGGUAAACAAGGACAUGGAUAACAAAAGCUAGUCAAACCUUAGGUAUAAAUAUGUAGAGCGGGAGGUGAAUUAAAUAAUGAAUAGGACAGAGAUAGGUCAAAGGACACUUGCCUCCACCAACCGAGUGCUGCUCAGGGGCUUCUCCUGCGAGUUCCUCGGGCUCUUCAACCGGAUCGUUCUCUAUGCGAGCGCAAACAUACAUACAUCCACAUAUUUAAUACAAAAGAACAGUACAUCAUACAAUAGAAUGCAAUAAGUAAACAGACGUUCCACGCGGGCUCGCGAGUACGGUUAAGAGAGAAAGAGGAAAAGACAGUCGAGAAACGAUCACGUUACAUGAUUACAAAUUAACCACUCGCUUAAUGGAAGGAAAUUUAAUGUAGACACUAUGUUCAGCGUAAAGUAAAGUCAUGUUUCAUGUCUAAUUAUUAUAAGUAGGUGGAGAUAAAUAAAAAGAAUGGUCACGCGGCGAGACGCGCGACAAAGCACUCUAAAACAAAUUAAAAGCUAGCGACUCGUCGCGCGACCGAGCACGCAAUGAGGCACUUCGCCUUAGUUAUGAGGAGACGUUAAACGUCGCGCGACGAAGCGCACGACGGCAUACGUCGACUAAACUGAGUCCAAAGUGGAACGUCGCGUGAAUGCACACGCGGCGUUACACCUUAAACAACCUGAGACAAAAAUGGAUCGUCGCGCGACGAAGCGCACGACGCAACACACAGAUAGAAUCUGAAAUUAGACAAACCGUCGCGCGACGAAGCGCGCGACGCAGCACGUUAACUAUCGAAUAAUCACCGCGAGCGCGGGCGAACGGGGACACGGUCGGGCGAGGCCGGGACGGGAACGGGCGGCCGAACGGGGGGGAGGGCGGUUGAACCGGCCCAGGGGCGGUUGAGCCGGCCCAGGGGCGGCCGAGUCGGCCGGGGCCGCGCCGGGGCCGAAGGCCGCGCCGGGGGCCGCGAACCGGCGAGCAGGGGCGGGCGGGAUCGCCGCCGCGGGGCCGAGGGACGGGCGGGGGGCGGGCGAGGUCGCCGGGGUCGGGGGAGGGGAGGGGGAGGCCGGCCGCGGGCCAGGGGAGGGCGGGCGCCGCCGCCGUGGGCGGGGAAGGGGCGGGCGAGGGCCACCGCGGCCGGGCAGGGGCGGGGGCGCCGCGCCGCCGGCGAGCAGGGGCGGGCAUGGGGCGCGCACGAGCAGGGGAAGAAGGGGGCGCGCGUGGGGAGAAGAAGGGGGAGGGAGAGGGAGAGAGAGAAGAGAAGGGGAGGGGAGGGGAGCUCACCUCGGGGUCCAAAAUCCGGUGAUCGUCGUCUCCAAACCCUAGGGCACCACGGGGAGAGAGAGGUGGGAGAGGGAGAGGGAAGUUGUUGCGCGGGAGAUCCAAAUGAGAGAGAGAGAAGAGGUGGGGGCGCAUGGGGGGGUUGGGCGCCAGGGGCGCGCAGGCCGGGGCGGGCCAGGCCGGGUGAGCUCGGCUGGACUAAGCUGGGCUGGGCCGAACCACUUCGCGGAUCAAAAACCCACGACGUGCGCGACCACUAAACGGAAUUAAAUCGCGAACCGAAAUCCGGAACGGAACGAGACGAACACUCAACAUCAGACAAAGAAAUGUGCUCGGCAUGAUGCAACACCCAUGACACUUAGGUUUUGGUUUAUACAUGACACGAACACUUGUCACUAUACUGGUUUGAAAUUGGGAAGAGGGAGCAAACGGGAAAAGAGAAAAGAGAGUAACGCCCGAAUUUGGUGAGAGAAAAGAAGAAAAAAUUCUACCCCCAAAUUCAGGGCGUUACAAACCUAUCCCCCUUAAAAGAAUCUCGCCCUCGAGAUUCAUGGUUGGCUAGCAAAGAGCUCAGGGUAUUUAGUCAUCAGAUCAUCUUCACGCUCCCAGGUUGCUUCUUCUUCAGAGUGGUGAUCCCAUCUAACUUUGCACAUUCUGAUGGUCUUCCUUCGGGUGACUCGGUCUGCAACCUCAAGGAUCUGCACUGGAUUCUCAACGUAGGUCAAGUCCUCCUGGACUUCAAGAUCUUCCACUGGCAACUGCUCUUCUGGCACACGCAAGCACUUCUUCAACUGAGACACAUGAAAGACAUCAUGCACAGCAGACAAAUUCUCUGGCAAACUGAGCUGAUAGGCCACUUCUCCACGUCUUGCAAGAAUCUGAUACAGACCAAUGUAGCGGGGUGCUAACUUGCCUUUCACUCCAAAUCUUCUGACUCCUCUGAUCGGUGACACUUUCAGAUAGACAAAAUCUCCGACUUCGAAACUCAGCUCUCUUCUUCUUGUGUCUGCAUAGCUUCGCUGCCUCGAUUGCGCUAUCUUCAGAUUCUCUCGGACCAUCUUGAUGUUCUCUUCGGCUUCAAGCAAAAUGUCUGGCCCAAACACUUGCUUCUCUCCAGGCUGAUCCCAUUGCAACGGAGUUCUGCAACUCCUUCCAUAGAGCGCCUGAAAUGGUGACAUCUUCAAACUGGACUGGUAACUGUUGUUAUAGGAAAACUCUGCAUAAGGCAAUCUCUUGUCCCAUCCGGACUGAUCUUGCAACGCACAGGCUCUCAACAUGUCUUCAAGAACUUGGUUGGUCCUUUCGGUCUGGCCAUCUGUCUGCGGGUGAUAAGCUGAACUGAAAUUCAGAUGUGUGCCCAAGGCUUCAUGCAACUGCUGCCAGAAAUGAGAGGUGAACUGCGUUCCUCUGUCUGAUACUAUCUUCUUUGGCACACCAUGAAGACAAACGAUCCGAGACAUAUACAAUUCUACCAAUACUGCACUACUGUAAUUGGUCUUGACAGGUAUGAAGUGGGCUGACUUGGUCAAACGGUCCACUACUACCCAAAUGGAAUCGUAGCCGGCUCGAGUGCGAGGCAAUCCGACUAUGAAAUCCAUACCGAUUUCGUCCCAUUUCCACUGAGGGAUCUGCAACGGUUGCAACAAUCCAGCAGGUCUCUGGUGCUCUGCCUUAAUUCUUCGACAACUAUCGCACCUAGCCACAUGCUCUGCGAUUUCUCUCUUCAUUCCGUACCACCAGAAUUUCUUCUUCAGAUCCUGAUACAUCUUCUCACUGCCAGGGUGAAUCGAAUAAGCUGUCUCAUGAGCUUCCUUAAGGAUCAACUCCCGAAUGGACUGGACAUUGGGAACACACAAGCGGUCUUUGAACCAUAUCACGCCUUCUGCAUCUUCUCGAAAAUCUUUGCCUCUGCCAUCUAGAAUCAGUCGCCGAAUCUCACUGAUCUUUUCAUCAUUCUUCUGCGCUUCUUUGAUUUCGCGCUCCAGGGUAGGUUCCAACUCAACUGUGACUCCUCGCGAAUUGUUCAGAAAUCCGAGACUCAAUCUGUCAAACUCCUUGGCCAACUCAUAAGGCAUCGGACGAGCGACCAUCAGAUUGACUUGACUCUUCCUGCUUAAAGCAUCUGCCACUACGUUUGCUUUGCCUGGAUGGUAAUGAAUCUCCAACUCAUAAUCUUUGAUCAACUCUAACCAUCUUCGUUGCCUCAUGUUCAACUCUGACUGAGUGAAUAUGUACUUCAGACUCUUGAGGUCUGUGUAAACAUCGCAUUUAUGUCCAUACAGAUAGUGCCUCCAUGUCUUCAGUGCGUGAACCACUGCUGCCAACUCUAGAUCAUGGAUUGGGUAGUUCUUCUCAUGAACCUUCAGCUGUCGGGACGAGUAAGCCACAACUCUUCCCUCUUGCAUCAACACACAUCCCAAACCUGUGUAACAAGCAUCACAAUACACCGAGAAGGGCUUGUGCACAUCAGGCAAGACUAGGACAGGCGCUGUAGUCAACUUCUCUUUUAGCGCUUCAAAGGCCUCUUGGCAUUUCUGGGUCCACUUGAACUCAACUUUGUUGCCUAGCAACGCUGUCAUCGGUUUUGCAAUCUUCGAAAACCCUUCAAUGAAUCGCCGAUAAUAUCCGGCCAUUCCAAUGAAACUCUUGAUUCCUCGAGCAUCUGUUGGCGCUUUCCAGUUCAAAAUGUCUGCCACUUUCUUCGGAUCCAGAGCCAAUCCUUCUUUGUUGAUUAUAUGACCCAAGAACAGGACUUCACUGAUCCAGAACUCACACUUGCUCAACUUUGCAUACAACUGGUGCUCUUGCAAUCUCUGCAACACCAUCUUCAAAUGAUCCGCAUGCUCUUCUUCGCUUUGAGAGUAAAUCAGAAUGUCAUCAAUGAAUACCACCACAAACUUAUCGAGAUAAUCCAUGAAUACACUAUUCAUCAAGUUCAUGAAAAAGGCUGGUGCAUUGGUCAAACCAAAAGACAUCACUGUGAACUCAUACAAACCAUACAUGGAAAUGAAUGCCGUCUUCGGAAUGUCCGAAGGUCGGAUCCUGAGCUGAUGAUAACCUGACCUCAGAUCAAUCUUGGAGAACACACUGGCUCCUCUCAACUGGUCGAACAGAUCUUCUAUUCUGGGCAAAGGAUACUUGUUCUUGAUCGUGACUUCAUUCAAAGCUCGAUAAUCGAUACACAUCCUUUUGGUGCCAUCUUUCUUUUCCACGAACAAGACAGGAGCGGCCCAAGGCGAGGUGCUUGGCCGAAUGUAACCUUUCUCUGACAGCUCAUCAAUCUGCUCCUUAAGCUCAACCAACUCUGGUCCGGAUAUUCUGUAAGCUCUCUUAGAGAUAGGGGCGGUUCCAGGAAGAAGCUCUAUGGCAAACUCAACUUUCUGCUCUGGUGGCAUACCCGGUAAGUCCUUUGGAAACACAUCUGGGAACUCAGACACAACCUUGAUACUCUCAAUUGGGUCUGCUUCACUGCUAUCGACAACCAUCUGAUAACAACUUCCUUUCUUUGGCUCAGGCGGGACUAACUCGGUCACCACUUCCUCUCCUAUUGGGGACACCAACUUGAUUGUCCUCUUAUCACAACUGAUAACUGCCUGAUACUUAUCUAGCCAAUUCAUCCCUAGGAUGACAUCUAUUCCCUGAGUACCCAUUACUAUAAGGUUAGCGGGAAACGCUAUCCCCCUUAUUUCCACACUUAUAUUCAAACAAAUGCUAUCGGCUCGAAUUCUACCACCGGCUAAGUCAAUUUGAAUGGGGGUUGACAUGGUAGUAAUUGGAAGAUUAUGUGCUUCUACCCAUGAUGCAGUAAUGAAAGAAUGCGUUGCUCCAGUAUCAAAUAACACUUCUGCAAUAUGGGAGUCGACUGGGAACAUACCUACUAUCAUGCCGGGGGUCUCCUGAACUGCUUCUGCCUCCAAGUGGUUCAGUCUCCCAUGAUUGUAACGCGGCUGAGAGCGAUUGCCUGCUCCAGGCUGAGGCACAUUCUGCUUCGCUGGGGCAUUGGGGCCUGACUGCUGCUGGGCUGCCUUCUUCGGACAUUGCAUCACCCAGUGGCCUUGCUCUCCAUAGUGGAAACAUGCUCUGUUUCCAACCUGAGCUGGUGCUGCCUGACUGUUCUGCUGAUUUGCUGGGGCAGGAAGACGAGGUGCUUGCUGAUUCUGCUUCUGAAACUGACCUCCUGACUGAUUGCUCUGACGGUUCUGGUACUGAUGCUGAGGAUACUGCCUUUGGAACUGCUGAUGCUGCUGAGGUGGACGCUGGUUCUGCCUGAACUGCUGAGGUUGAUUGCCUGAGAAACGAGGACGGCUGCUGCUUCCAGGCUGGGGUCCACUGAUCUUGCGCUUACGACCCUCCAUCUCCUUACGCUUUCUCUCUGUCAUGAUUGCUCUGUCAAUCAGGUGCUGAAAUGUCGGAAAGGUGUGAUUCAUCAGUUGGUACUGCAGAGGGUCAACCAGGCCUCUCAGGAAACGGUACUGUCGCUUGGCGUCGGUGUUGACAUCUUCAGGAGCAUAGCGAGACAAUUGCAGAAACCUGUCUCGAUAUUCACUGACAGACAACGGCCCUUGCUUGAGAGCCAGGAACUCCUCUUUCUUCACUGUCAUCAGACCUGCAGAAACAUGGUACUGACGAAAGCUUCCUCUGAACUCUUCCCAGGUGAUGGCGUCAGGAUGGGCAUGGGUGGCGAGGUAAGACUCCCACCAUGAUUGGGCUGCUCCUCUCAACAGACGGGGACCAUACAAGACUUUCUCCCUAUCAUCGCACUGAGCGGUAUGCAACUCGCGCUCCACAGUGCGCAGCCAGUCUUCAGCAUCCAUGGGGUCAGAAGAAUGAGCGAACGUUGGUGGAUGACCUCUCAUGAAUUCAGCACGCUUGUCUCUAGGCAUCUGAGGCAUCUGAGGCUGAGGUAGGGCCUGCUGCUGUUGCUGCUGCUGCUGCUGAAUGGCGGCCAAAGUCUGCCCGAUAGCUUGAACUGCUUGAGUCUGCAUCAGAAACAUCUGCUCGAUCGACAUCGGGGGCGGGGGCGGCAGGUGCUGCUGCUGGGGCACCUCAUCCUGCGGAGCGGCUCACUCCUGCUGAGCACGCCUUCCUCCUCUGCGCCUGUUCUCUGACAUCUGCAGAAUGCAACCACACAUCAGAACUGAUCUGGCAAAUCUUGCAGCAUAAGAAAAGAGUAGAGGAUUCUUCAACAGCACUGAACAGAUGAGCAUCUUCACUGAUCUCCAACACAGACCACACAGCUUCUCAGAUAAAGAGGAAAGUGGAAUAAAAGGUUUCCCAACUAUAUAACUAACUUUAUUAACAUAAUAGGUAAACCAAAAUGCAGGGGAUACCCACACUCUGGUGACAAUCAUUACAAAGAUCCAAACCAAACAUAGUUCAUCAUGACAAACAUAAAUGCACAGGAUAUAGCAAACUACCCUGUCUAACUAAGACUAACUAAAACCGAGACUAACGCUAAGGCUGAAGCUUCUAUGUAUAUAUAUUUUGUAUUAAUUACAAGAUCCAACUCUAACGAUCUAUGGUUCUAGAGUUAUCUUGGUCUUGCAGUCGGGAUUGCCAUAAGACUGGGAUCCACGCCGAGGUGAGCGGUACAGGUGCUGAGUCCCGACGGGAGCGGGGGAACCAUCCUCCAGGUGACGACGUUCCGCGCGCUCAGCCCGCAGCUGGGCGAUCUCAGCACGAGCCCUACUCAGCUCGUCCAAUGCAUGGUCGAGCUCCGUGUUUAGCACGGCGGCUAGGUUGACUGUGCUGCUCAACCUAGGAUUGCCCUCACCGACAGGUGAGACAAUCACGCCUCCUGUGCUGCCAGAUGAACGGCGGGGGUAAUACUUCAGGUCAAGACCGUCAGCUACCCCACCGAAAACCGAGCAGUAGUGCGAAAGCGCACGCCGUGCAGCAUCUUGCAUGGCUGCCUCAGCUGAGUCCCGUUCAGAGAUAGAAUAGUGCUCUGAGCAGGCCUCUGCACCCUGGAGACUGUUCUCCGGACGGCGCACCAAGCAAGUUGCCUCCCAGCGGUCCGGGUAGACCCCGCGACAGUGCUGGUAGACCACACAGCGAUACUCGAUGGACCAAGUAUGCCGGUUAAGUGCCCGACGUAGCAGGGUAUCAAGCGCAUCGUGGAAGUGACACCCGCGAGCAGCGUCGCGAGUGAUGGAUCGAGCAAACCAUCCUUCCAGCUCAUGGUUAGCAGAGAAGUCGGUGCCGUGGCUCGAGCUGUCGUCGCCAUCUCCGUCGUCUGGGUCUCCUCCAGCAGCUAUUCCAGGGGCUGGGGCGCCCUGUGGUGGUGCAGGGGGCGCCUCCAGAGGAAGCACAGGGGAGCAGCUCCUCACAGACUCUAUCUCCUGUUGGAGCGAGAAGGAAGAGCCCUGCUGCUCCUGCUCCUGUCGUCGACGUUCCUACUCCUCAUGCAGGCGGUGGUGCAGUCUCUCCAAGUGGCUGGACUGUCCGGCCACAGGACGGCGAAGCGGACGCUCAGCAAGGCGGGAGGGUAAGAAAGGGAUGACGGACUUUCGUGCAGUGUGUCUAAGACGAGCCAUCUACAAAAGACAUCGCAAGCAAAAGGGUGAGAACAGAAUCAAUAUGACCAGCAAGUAAUGAACCAUAAAUAAAUGAAGGAUUAGGAUAAAACAUGAUUUUCAGCAAGGUAUAGUAUAUAGUAGAACAUAGGUUUGGUCGGUAUGACCAACUUUUGAAGGGAUAUCAAAGUCAAGGCAAGGACAGAGGUCUAUAGUCCUUAGAACGACCAUUCUACUCUAGGUUAGCGGUCCUACAGUCAGCACGGCUUUGAUACCACUUAUGUCACACCCGGUUUUAGAAGGCAAACCGAAUGCGAACCAUGUACGUGCCAGGAUCAGUUAUUCACGUACACAGCAGUUACAUAACAUGGACAUCAUCACACAGUGCUCAAAAUAGUACUAAAAGGGAAAUAAUAGUCGAUUACAUCAUACGUCUGAGACGUCCAUAUAGUUCUUACAAUAGAUCAAAGUGCGGAAAAGAAACGUAGAUAAACGCGGCCUUCACAGGCAGCCGACUGGGGGUUGCCGCUAACCCACGCCUAGAACUCGUCGUAGUCUUGGAACUCCUGGAAGUCUCCUUCCACAGCUUCAUCUUCGCCUGAGCAGUGGUUGCAAUGCUGACAACCUGGGGGGGUUUGGUGUGUAGAGCAAGGGUGAGUACACAUCAACAUACUCAGCAAGUAUCCUGUUUGGUUGUAGUGGACUAGCUUUAUGUGGGGAUAAGUCAAGCAGUUGCUUUUAGUUGGUCAGAUUAUUACUUACUAGUAGAAAGCCAAGUUUUAUCAUUACCCAAGUUAUUAACCCGAUGUACCCUUUCCAAACGGAAAGAAUACCACUUACCAGCACCAUAGCCAUAACCAAAACCAUCAAUCUCAUUGCCACCUGUAAACCAAGAGGUCUCUUAUCAAGUACCACUAAUCACUGGAGCUCCCUUGGCCGCUCAUAACCGUGAGCACGGCUGAUAUAUCAGUUUCAUAACACUCUGCAGAGGUUGUGCACUUUACCCACAAGCCGUGAUUCCCUCUUGCCUCGGGCCGAUCAAACCCUUAAACACUACCAAGGUGAAUAGGCAGGGUUUCACUACGUAGCCUUUACAAAGAUUCCUCGGGGCUGUAGCCGCCCGUUAGGUUUCCUAAAUGUACCGCACUCCUCCCCAAGGGACAAAUCAACCUUGGCAGAGCGAGCCGCAUACACCGAGCCCCAUUGACGGCACGACGGCGAAGCGAACUACACCCCGGAUCCUCUAAUUAUUCAGCUAAGGGCACCCCAUUCCACCCUCAUGGUUGCACUGUUUUCCCGGGCGGUCAUCCAUAGAACAGGUCCUUACGGAGAGGCACUCGAGAAACCGCUCGAGCCCCCUUAAAGCCACAAGUACAACAUCAUAAUAAGAGAAGGGAAAACAGCGUAUCAUAGAUAAUCUCAUCAUGUUCAUUGAUUAGAGUUGAGCAAUAGCAUAAAGCUAAGCAAUAAUAAUCCAACCCAAAUAGGUAAACAAGGACAUGGAUAACAAAAGCUAGUCAAACCUUAGGUAUAAAUAUGUAGAGUGGGAGGUGAAUUAAAUAAUGAAUAGGACAGAGAUAGGUCAAAGGACACUUGCCUCCACCAACCGACUGCUGCUCAGGGGCUUCUCCUGCGAGUUCCUCGGGCUCUUCAACCGGAUCGUUCUCUAUGCGAGCGCAAACAUACAUACAUCCACAUAUUUAAUACAAAAGAACAGUACAUCAUACAAUAGAAUGCAAUAAGUAAACAGACGUUCCACGCGGGCUCGCGAGUACGGUUAAGAGAGAAAGAGGAAAAGACAGUCGAGAAACGAUCACGUUACAUGAUUACAAAUUAACCACUCGCUUAAUGGAAGGAAAUUUAAUGUAGACACUAUGUUCAGCGUAAAGUAAAGUCAUGUUUCAUGUCUAAUUAUUAUAAGUAGGUGGAGAUAAAUAAAAAGAAUGGUCGCGCGGCGAGACGCGCGACAAAGCACUCUAAAACAAAUUAAAAGCUAGCGACUCGUCGCGCGACCGAGCACGCAAUGAGGCACUUCGCCUUAGUUAUGAGGAGACGUUAAACGUCGCGCGACGAAGCGCACGACGGCAUACGUCGACUAAACUGAGUCCAAAGUGGAACGUCGCGUGAAUGCACACGCGGCGUUACACCUUAAACAACCUGAGACAAAAAUGGAUCGUCGCGCGACGAAGCGCACGACGCAACACACAGAUAGAAUCUGAAAUUAGACAAACCGUCGCGCGGCGAAGCGCGCGACGCAGCACGUUAACUAUCGAAUAAUCACCGCGAGCGCGGGCGAACGGGGACACGGUCGGGCGAGGCCGGGACGGGAACGGGCGGCCGAACGGGGGGGAGGGCGGUUGAACCGGCCCAGGGGCGGUUGAGCCGGCCAGGAGCGGCCGAGUCGGCCGGGGCCGAGCCGGGGGCCGCGCCGGGGCCAAAGGCCGAGCCGGGGGCCACGAAUCGGCGAGCAGGGGCGGGCGGGAUCGCCGCCGCGGGGCCGGGGGACGGGCGGGGGGCGGGCGAGGUCGCCGGGGUCGGGGGAGGGGAGGGGGAGGCCGGCCGCGGGCCGGGGGAGGGCGGGCGCCGCCGCCGCGGGCGGGGAAGGGGCGGGCGAGGGCCGCCGCGGCCGGGCAGGGGCGGGGGCGCCGCGCCGCCGGCGAGCAGGGGCGGGCAUGGGGCGCGCACGAGCAGGGGAAGAAGGGGGCGCGCGUGGGGAGAAGAAGGGGGAGGGAGAGGGAGAGAGAGAAGAGAAGGGGAGGGGAGGGGAGCUCACCUCGGGGUCCAAAAUCUGGUGAUCGUCGUCUCCAAACCCUAGGGCACCACGGGGAGAGAGAGGUGGGAGAGGGAGAGGGAAGUUGUUGCGCGGGAGAUCCAAAUGAGAGAGAGAAGAGGUGGGGGCGCAUGGGGGGGUUGGGCGCCAGGGGCGCGCAGGCCGGGGCGGGCCAGGCCGGCUGAGCUCGGCUGGACUAAGCUGGGCUGGGUCGAACCACUUCGCGGAUCAAAAACCCACAACGUGCGCGACCACUAAACGGAAUUAAAUCGCGAACCGAAAUCCGGAACGGAACGAGACGAACACUCAACAUCAGACAAAGAAAUGUGCUCGGCAUGAUGCAACACCCAUGACACUUAGGUUUUGGUUUAUACAUGACACGAACACUUGUCACUAUACUGGUUUGAAAUUGGGAAGAGGGAGCAAACGGGAAAAGAGAAAAGAGAGUAACGCCCGAAUUUGGUGAGAGAAAAGAAGAAAAAAUUCUACCCCCAAAUUCAGGGCGUUACACACCACCGGACCGUGUCCGGUGCACCAGGGAGGAUUGCCUUCAAACUCUUCACCUUCGGGUUUCUCAGGCGCAGGCCACUAUAAUUCACCGAACUGUCCGGUGCACCACCGGACAGGUGCUCCAGAGUGAAGCGGCUCUGAACUGGCCAGCUUCGGGAAAGUAGGAGGUCGCUCCGCUAAAAUUCACCGGACUGUCCGGUGUACACCGGACUGUCCGGUGUGCCAGCGGAGCAACGGUCAUCUGCGCGCAACGGUCGACUCUGCAAAGUGUACAGUUGAAUUCAGAGUGUCAGAGCAGAAGUCAGAGGGGCACCGGACUGUCCGGUGCUGCACCGGACUGUCCGGUGCCACAUGAGGACAAAGCCUCCAACGGUCGACCAGCUCCAAUCUCAACGGAUAGGAUGACUUGGCCGGCGCACCGGACAUGUCCGGUGUGCACCGGACUGUCCGGUGCGCCCAUCGCCAGCAGCUUCUCCAUCGGCUACAAAAUUGGAUGGUGGCUAUAAAUACCACCCCAACCGGCCACUUCAAGGUGUGGGAGCCCAAGCAACAUUCCAAGUCAUCUAGUUGACAUACUCAAGCCCUCCCAACCACAUAUAUUCAUUGAUCCAUCCUAUACACAAGAUUUAGUCCACUACAACCAACACAAGUGCCACAAAAGAGAGAGCAAGCAAUUGAGAGCUACUCAAUUGAGUUUAGCCCUAGCGCCUUGUGAGAUUCAUUGAGAGAUAGUGUGUGCUACAUCCUUGUGUUCAUUUGUGCGUGGAGUAUUGACUCCCAUCGAACUUCCUCCAAAGUUUUGGAGGCUUGUAAAAGCUAGCAAGAGACACCAAAGAGUGUGGUGGUCCUUGUGGGAUCGAGAGUGAUCCUUGAGAAGAAGAAGAGCUCACCGAUCCUUGUGUGAUCGGGGGAGAGAGGGAAAGGGUUGAAAAAGACCCGUCCUUAAGUGGACUCCUCAACGGGGACUAGGCCUUCGAGGGCCGAACCUCGGUAAAACAAAUCACCCGUGUCCAUUGUGUUUAUUGCUUGUGAUUUGUUUGUUUUCCCUUGCUCUAAGUUUUCUUGCACCAUUAUUUGCUAAUAUCAUUUGGUGUUGCUUCAAGUUAAAUUCCCAUUUAGUGAAGCAACACGUUGCAAGAAAGAACUUGACCUAGUGCUCUUCUCAUCUAAGGCUUCUUGCUUUGUUAUUCUAUAACUUAUUAAUUGUAUUGAUUUAUCACUCCCACAUUAUUUAGCAAUACUCUUUUCAAGCAAGAACUUAGUUUGUAUACUCCUAUUUUUGUAUAUCUUGUUCUAACCACUACUCAAGGGAUCUAGUUGGGGGAUAAAGUUUUAAUUUUCAGGUUUCGCCUAUCCACCCCCCCUCUAGGCGACUUUCAAGUUCAUCAUAGAGUCGGCUCUCUACUACCAUCUGAUGGCCCACCUCCCAAAUUCCUGCAAUUAUAUAUAUAUGACAUUGCAAAUGAGAUCACAAAUAGAUUGCAAUGCUUAGAUACAAACAGAGAAUACAAUGAAGAUUUAAAUCCCAACAUUGUACAAAGCCUAACAAGGAUGCUUGAUAUCCACAAUCCAUUUGUGAAGAAAUUCAGAAUGGCUAGAGAUCGCUUGGCUGGCAAUGAGCCUGGAGAUUUCAUCAUUAGAAUUGUGGGUGCAAAAUAAGGUGAUCCUAUGCAAUACAAUUUACCAGCAACUGUCAAACUCGUGAUGUUGGUAGUAGGAGAUUUCUCCUUAGACACUUUCAAACGCGACAUAGUAAUAGAAACACAUGGUAGAGACCUCAAACGUAUAUCUUCUCUACAUCCAGCUUUCAUGCCUUUGCAAUAUCCCUUGCUGUUUCCAUACGGUGAAAGAGGAUUUCAAGUAGGUGUUCUAUAUAAUGGUAUCAACUCUAUAGAUGCAAAUAAACGACAAUGCAUGACAAUGCAAGAAUAUUUCUGCUACCAGUUCCAUUACAGAAAGAAUCAGCGAAAUCCUUAUUUAUGUUAUGGUCUGCUAUCCAGUCAAGCAAAGGUAGAUGCACCCGCAUGCAUUGAAGAAAACAGAUUAAACUACAUUGCUCAGAAUCAAGAAAAAAUGCAAAUUGAAACUAUACAAAGCAUUUCAGAUGCUGUGAGUCGCGGUUUUGUCAAUGGUGAGGAAAUAGGAAAGAUUAUGGUUUUACCUGCCUCAUAUACUGGUGGAAGACGAUACAUGGUACAAAAUUAUCAUGAUGGAUUAGCUAUCUGUAGAGUCCAUGGACCACCAGACUUUUUUUCUCACAUUCACAUGUAAUCCUCAAUGGCCUGAUAUUACAAAUAGUUUCUUCGAAAGAGGUCAAACACCACCUGAUAGAUCAGAUGUCGUUGUAAGGGUUUACCACAUGAAAUUUGAUGAUCUCAUAUAAGACAUUAAAGGUGGAGUACUAUUUGGACCAUGUCAUGCAGGUACAAGUACAACAAUAAAACCUCACUAUAAAUUGCUCACACUUAAGUGCUUCCUGCUAUAAAGUUUUACUAAUAAAAUAUUUCGCUUGCAGUUCUAUACACUAUUGAAUCCAAAAACGUGGCCUUCCACAUGGUCAUGUUAUAUUUUGGGUAUCCGCAGACACAUCAGAACCAACUCCUCAGCUAAUUGAUUCUUUCAUAAGUGCUAAAAUCCAUGAUCCAGCCUCAGAUCCAUUGGGAUAUUCAUUAGUUGCAGAACAUAUGGUCCAUGCAUGUGGCAACCUCAAUCCACGAUCACCUUGCAUGAAAAAAUGGAAGAUGUUCAAAAAAUUAUCCUAAAGAUUUCCAACAUGAAACAUCUCUUGAUGCAAAUGGAUUUGCUUUGUAUAGACGAAGAAACAAUGGUCGAUUUGUUAUAAAAUCCAACAUCAAACUUGAUAACAGAUGGAUUGUUCCAUACAAUCUACCACUACUAAAAAGGUAUCAAGCCCAUAUUAAUUUUGAGUAGUGUAAUAAAAGCAUCUUCAUCAAGUAUCUUUUUAAGUAUGUGACCAAGGGACUAGAUCGUAGUAAGAUAUUCCUCCAACGAAUUCAAAAUGAUAGCGAUGUCCCAUAUGAUGAGGAUACACGUACAAAAAAUGAGAUCAAAGAAUAUUUGGAUACUCGCUAUAUAUGUGAUAAGGAUUCCAUGUGGCAAAUUUUAGGCUAUGAUAUUCAUACACUUUCCUGCUGUUGAGAGGCUACCUGUCCAUCUACCUGAUGAAAAUUACAUAGUAUACAUCUCUAAUACCAACAUGUCAAGACUCCUUUCUGAGGAAUUUCGCCGUCGAACAAUGUUAACAGAAUGGUUCACUGCUAAUAAAAACCACAACAAAGCUAGAGAACUUACCUACUGUAAUUUCCCUUCCAAAUGGCGUUGGGACGACAACUCCAAAACAUGGAUUGGAAGGCAUACAAAAGAAGGGAAAAUAGGACGCAUGUAUUAUGUUCAUCCAACAUCUGGAGAGCGAUAUUAUCUUAGAAUGUUGUUACUCACAGUUAAAGGAGCAUCUGAUUACAAAAGCCUUCGAACUUAUAAUAACAUUGUCUAUCCAACUUUUAAAGAGGCCUGCAAAGCUCGUGGCUUAAUUGGCAAUGACCAAGAAUGGUACAAUGCUUUUGAUGAGGCUGUAGCAUGGGCUUUACCACAUCAACUUCGCCAACUCUUUGUCACAAUGUUGCUAUACUACGAAGUAGGUGACGAAUACAACUUCUUUGAAAAGUUUGGAAGCUCUUAUGUGAUGACAUUCAAUAUAACUAUCGUCAAUUACUUAAUCAUCCUACUUAUGAAUUAGAGGAGAAGGAAAAUCAAAAUCAUUUACUUGGUGAUCUUGCUGAAUUAUUUUCAAAAUGUGGAGGCAACAUACAUGAUUUUAACUUACCAUCCAGAAGUUCUUCUUCUGAAUAGCCAUGUGGAAAUCGUUUAGUAAAUGAGGAACUCUAUUACAAUACACAAGAUAUGCUAAUCGAGUCUGAAACAUUACUAUCAAAACUAAAUCAUGAACAACUUGAGGUGUUUAACAUUAUUACUGAUGUUGUUGAUUCAGAAAAAGCUAGCUUCUUCUUUGUUUGUGGUUAUGGAGGUACAGGAAAAACAUUUUUAUGGAAAACUAUCAUAAAUCAUCUUCGUUCACAAUAAAAAAUUGUCCUAAGUGUUGCUUCUUCUGGCGUUGCUUCUCUUCUCUUACCUGGAGGCCGAACAACUCACUCACGAUUCAAGAUCCCUUGCGAUCUAGAUGAGACAACAGUCUGUAAUAUUAAGAGGGGGACAAUGCUUGCUGACCUAAUAAAACAAACAUGCUUGAUAAUAUGGGAUGAAGCUCUUAUGACACAUAAAGCAGCUUUUGAAGCUCUAGAUAGAACUCUGCGUGAUUUACUUUCAUUACACUCACCGGAUGCAAAAGAACUACCUUUUGGAGGGAAGGUUGUUGUCCUUGGUGGAGACCCUAGACAAAUAUUACCUGUUAUUGAAGGUGGAAGUCGUUCAGAAAUUGUUGCUGCUGCCAUUUGCAACUCAAAAUUAUGGUCCCAUGUCACUGUACUAACAUUGACUCAGAACAUGAGACUUCUAUCACCUAUAUUGACUGAGCAAGAUAAAUUGGAACUUGCUGAAUUCAACCAAUGGAUGCUAAAUAUCGGUGAAGGAAACAUACCAACAACUGCUAAAGGAGAUAACGAACCUUUUUGGAUAAAAAUACCUAAAGAGUUCGUCAUCAUGCCUCCAAAAAAUGCAAUAACAUCUCUUAUUGAGACUAUUUACCCUAACCUUGCCACAAGAUUCAACGACAUGGACUACUUGAGUGAAAGAGCAGUGUUGACACCAACUAAUGAAGUUGUUGACAAUGUUAAUGACGUUGUUGUCUCUAUGGUUCCUAGACAUGAAAAGGAAUAUCUAAGCUGUGAUCGCAUUGCGAGAACUCCAAACAUGCAUGAUUCAUAUGAGAUAUUAUACCCAGUUGAGUUCCUAAAUUCACUGAAUGGUAAUAAUUUCCCACAGCACAAAAUCAUUCUUAAAGAAGGUGUUCCCAUUAUGUUAUUAAGAAAUCUUAAUCAGUCCGAAGGACUUUGCAAUGGAACAAGAUUGGUUAUUUCACGUUUAGGCCAAAUGAUCAUAGAAGCAAAAAUAAUAUCUGGGAAUCAUAAAGGCAAAAUUAUUUUGAUUCCAAGGAUAGCUCUAACAUUAAAAACAACUAAAUGGCCUUUUAUUCUUGAAAGAAGGCAAUAUCCUAUUAAGAUUUGCUACGCCAUGACUAUUAACAAAAGCCAAGGACAAACACUUUCUAAUGUUGGGAUAUAUCUUAGAAAGCCAGUUUUUACUCAUGGUCAAUUGUAUGUUGUUGUAUCUCGAGCUACCUCAAAAGAUGGAUUGAAAAUCCUCAUAGAAGAUGAAAAUGGCAACCCAUGCAAUGAAACUAAGAAUGUUGUCUACAAAGAAGUGUUAUCCCGCUUCUUUUGAAGCAAUUUAUUUCCCAUAGAGUUUUACAAGUUUUAUUAUACAUAUUAUCCUUUUGCCUUCAUUAUUGCUAUGCAAGAGAAUUCCAUCUACAUAUAAAUGUACAGUUCUUCUUGGCUUUUCACUUCUCAAGUUUCUUAUAUAAAUAUCUGGUACAGUCCUCUAAACUGUAAAAACCUAUUAUUUGUUAAUAUAUAUACAUCAAAUUAUACUCUUCUAUAACUAAUAUAAAAUAUACAAAACUUUAUUUCCAGCAAGAACAUGGCACCGAUUCUGCUCCGAAACCUGAAGCCUCAAGAAAUUCUAGCAACUAUCGAAGU